UAUAUACCUGUUCGUGCGUCUCUCUCUCUCUCAUCCUCCUUCACACAUCAAUGGAGGCCAUAGUGCUGUAUCCACCGCCCAACAUGGGUCACCUAAUCUCCAUGGUGGAGCUUGCUCAGCUAAUCCUCCUCCACCACCACCACCCUUCUAAUUCUCAAUUAUCCGUCCACAUCCUCAUCACCUCUCCACCCAUCAACCUUGGCUCCGCCUCCACCUACAUCGCCUCCGUCUCCGCCACCACCCCUUCCAUCAUCUUCCAUCACCUCCCCGACCCCUCUCCCCCUCUCCAUCCCGCCUCCUUCCCCUCCAUGGAAGCCCUCGUUUUUGAGCACAUCAACCUCACCACCCCUCACGUCCAAACCGCCCUCCUUUCUAUCUCUCUCUUGUCCCCCAUCCGUGCUUUCGUUAUCGACGGCUUCUGUACUCCCGCUCUCGAAGUCGGCACUUCCCUCCAUAUCCCAACUUACUAUUUCUUUUCCUCCGGCGCAAGUUGCCUCGCCUUGUUUCUCUACCUCCCCACUCUUCACAAAAACACCACGAAAAGCUUCAAAGACCUCAACACCCAUCUCCACGUCCCAGGCUUACCACCCAUCCCCUCGUCCCAUAUGCCGGAGCCAACGCUUGACAGAACCAAAGAACAACAUUCUUGGUUCCUUAAUUUUGCUACCCGCCUUCCGAAAUCUGCUGGAAUCAUCGUUAACACGUUUAACUCUCUUGAGCCAAAUGCAUUGAAAGCUAUAUCCGAUGGAAUUUGCGUCCAGGACGGCCACACUCCACCCAUCUUUUGUGUUGGACCAGUGAUCAAGUCCAACGAUCAAAGUGCUGAAGGUCAACCUGAGUGUUUAAAAUGGCUCGACUCGCAACCCAGGGGAAAGGUUGUAUUUUUGAGCUUCGGGAGCUUAGGUACGUUUUCAAAGGAGCAGUUGAAGGAAAUAGCUGUAGGACUAGAGAAAAGUGGCCAAAGGUUCUUGUGGGUGGUGCGCAGUCCACCUAUGAAAGAGCAAAGCCAGCAGAUGUCGUCACAAUCUGAUGAAGACCCAGACUUGGAUUCUUUGCUUCCGGAAAGUUUCUUGGAUCGCACUAGGGAGAAGGGGCUCGUCGUGAAGCAAUGGGCACCACAGGUAGCGGUGCUGAGUCAUGACGCGGUGGGCAGUUUCGUUACUCAUUGUGGGUGGAACUCAGUGCUGGAAGCGGUUUGCGCUGGCAUUCCGAUGGUGGCGUGGCCGCUGUACGCGGAGCAGAGGUUUAACAAGACAUUGUUGGUGGAACAGUUGAAGCUGGCUUUGCCAAUGAAUGAGUCGGCGGGCGGGUUAGUGAGCGCGGCCGAGGUGGAGAGGCGAGUUAGAGAGAUUAUGGACUCGGAGGAUGGAAACUCGGUGAGAGAGCAGGUAUUGGCCAAGAGACAGGAGGCAAUGGCGGCAACGAGUGAACACGGCUCGUCCCGAGUUGCGCUCGCAAAGUUUGUCAAGUUGGCGAAGAGGUGAUGGAUGGAUAUAAACGCGGUUCACUUCCUUUUUUCGAAUGUUUAAGGUAUAAAAUAUGAAAAUCUACUCUGGUAAAAUUUUAUAUACCUCUUUCUCUACUGAAUUCCUCUCACCCUCUCUGUAUACUCGCACUUCACUACAAAAAGUGUCGACCUGAGUGGGAGGAGGAGCACUGGCUCUGCCUUCCUCUCCCCAUCUUAUAGCAUUUUUAUCCGGUGCCUUAUAACUCUUUUUUUCCUAUAA